AUUUUCGACACGAGUGGCGCUGGCAUACAUCAGUCAGCCGUAUGCGACUUGUGGUGUACUUGUGGUGUAUGUGGUGUAGUACUUCUUGUCAUCUUGUCAUCAUCAUCAUAUCCGUCGUGACAGAUUCUUUAACCUGAUCUUUAUUCGUCAGUCAUUAACAAUAAUCUUGACAUAAGGAUUGCAUUGAACAUUGAGCUACAAAAUAAAUUAUGAUCAGAAAUAUUUAAAUAGUCCGUCAGUGGAGGAGACAGACGUUGAGCUGCAAAUAGAUAAUAAAAUAUCAUUACAAGAACACGAUGCCAAUAUUGAA